rnacentral:rRNA from 1 species
CAUAGCGUAAACGAUGAAAUGCUAAGUGGUGGAGGGGUUUCCGACCUUCAGUGCUGCAGAUAACGCAUUAAGCAUUCCGCCUGGGGAGUACGACCGCAAGGUUGAAACUCAAAAGAAUUGACGAGGGCCCGCACAAGCGGUGGAGCAUGUGGUUUAAUUAGAAGCUACGCGAAGAACCUUACCAGGUCUUGACAUCUUCUGCCAAUAUAAGAGAUUAGACGUUCCCUUAGGGGACAGAAUGACAGGUGGUGCAUGGUUGAAGUCAGCUCGUGUCGUGAAAUGUUGGGUUAAGUCCCGCAACGAGCGCAAACCUUAUUAUUAGUUGCCAGCAUUAAAUUGGGCACUAUAGUGAGACUGCCGGUGACAAACCGGAGGAAGGUGGGGACGAAAGUCAAAUCAUCAUGCCCCUUAUGACCUGGGCUACACACGUGCUACAAUGGACGGUACAACGAGUAGCAAAACCGCGAGGUUUAGCUAAUCUCUUAAAACCGUUCUCAGUUCGGAAUGCAGGAUGCAACUCGCCUGCACGAAGUUGGAAUCGUUAGUAAACGCGGAUCAGCAUGCCGCGGUGAAUACGUUCCCGGGCCUUGUACACACCGCCCGUCACACCAUGAGAGUUUGUAACACCCAAAGCCGGGGAGUAACCUUGGGGAGCUAGCCGUUAAAGG